GCCGAUGUGUUGGAACUGGCAGACGAGACGGACUCAAAAUCCGUUGCGGGCAACCGCGUGUGGGUUCGACCCCCACCAUCGGCACCA
rnacentral:tRNA from 1 species